GACGUAGGAGGCGAGCGUUGUCCGGAUUCAUUGGGCGUAAAGAGCGCGCAGGCGGCUUGGUAAGUCGGAUGUGAAAUCCCGAGGCUCAACCUCGGGUCUGCAUCCGAUACUGCCCGGCUAGAGGUAGGUAGGGGAGAUCGGAAUUCCUGGUGUAGCGGUGAAAUGCGCAGAUAUCAGGAGGAACACCGGUGGCGAAGGCGGCACUCUGGGCCGAUUCUGACGCUGAGGCGCGAAAGCUAGGGGAGCAAACGGG
rnacentral:rRNA from 1 species